rnacentral:rRNA from 1 species
UACAGGGGGUGCGAGCGUUAAUCGGAAUUACUGGGCGUAAAGCGCACGUAGGCGGCUUGGUAUGUCGGGUGUGAAAUCCCCGGGCUCAACCUGGGAACUGCAUCCGAAACUGCCUUGCUCGAGUAUGGGAGAGGGAAGUGGAGUUUCCGGUGUAGCGGUGAAAUGCGUAGAUAUCGGAAGGAACAUCAGUGGCGAAGGCGACUUCCUGGACCAAUACUGACGCUCAGGUGCGAAAGCGUGGGGAGCAAACAGG